AUUGACACCAACAUCCAUCAUGCAUUCACCUCGCUCCCAAAGCUCAUGCAUUUUAUCCUGAACCUACCCUUCACGGCAAUGAUUUACAGCCAAAAAUGCUGGAGAAACUCAGCGGUUGAGGCAGCAUCUGUGGAGCGAAGGAAAAGGAUUGAUGGGAGUUCACUAGAGAAACACAAGAAAGGUUUACAACAUUGGCAGGACUGCAGAAGAAAGGUUGCAAAGAGAGAGUCGCCAGGAACUGCAGCAGGUAGAUUGUUUGAGUGGUUAUAAUAGUAUAGAAAAAAAGACAAAAUGCUGGAGUAACUCAGCGGGACAGGCAGCAUCUCUGGAGAGAAGGAAUGGAUCAUGUUUCGGAUUGAGACCCUUUUUCAGACGUCUCGACCCGAAAUGUCAUCCAUUCCUCCCCCCCCAGAGAUGCUGCCUGUCUCGCUGAUGUCUAUCUGUGCAGCAUCUGCAGUUUCUCCCUAUACAUAAGAUGAUGAUAUUCUUACUGGCCCAUUCAGAGUAAACAAGGUAACCAUCUUUCCGACACAAAGUUGGGAAUGUAAUUCAAUUGGCACAAGGGUUUGAUGCAAUUAGUACAGUGGGCCAAGGGUUCACUGCGUGAAUGGCUGUUGGAAGCAGAACUCACAUUUACUGGGCACCUGAACCAGCAGAAGAGGCUGUGAGCGAGAUUCACCUGGCCUCCCAGCACGUAAAACAGAAGCUGGGAACUAUAGGUCAAUUGACAGGUACAUGGAUAGGACAAGUUUGGAGGGAUAUGGACCAAACACAGGCAGGUGGGACUAGUGUAGCUGGGACAUGGUGGCGGGUGUGGGCAUUGGGCCGAAGGGUCUGUUUCCACACUGUAUCACUCUAUGAUUCUAAUUCAUCCAGCACUCAUAGUUCGCAAGAGGAAAUAACUAAUCAUUUGGUAAGCUGCAUCUAAUCAAACGGAGCCGACAUGGUUUAAUAAAAAUCAUGUGUGGCAAAACUUGACAGGAUGUGAUAGGGAGUUGACACGGGAAACCUGUAAAUGUAGUUGGGAAGGAACUGCAAAUGCUGGUUUAAACCAAAGAUAGACACAAUAAGCUGGAGUAACUUAGCGGGUCAGAUAGCAUCUCUGGAGAAAAGGAAUUUUCUAUUUGUUUUCUCCAGAGAUGCUGUCUGACCCACUGAGUUACUGCAGCUUUUUGUGUCAAUCUCCUGUAAAUGCAGUGUGUAUUCAGAUCUCCAAAAGGCAUUUGCCACAUAUGAGGCUGCUGCUGCAAAAAAAUUAAGAGCCCUCUUAAUUUAGAGGAAGUGUUCUAACAUGGACUGAAAGGCGGCAGUCAUAUAGAAAAAAAGGUUAGAAUAAAUGCGUGAAAACUGCAGAUGGAAUAAAUCUGAAAAACAAAAUGCUGGGAGCACUCGGGUCAGGCUGCAUCUGUAGCCAGAGAAACAGAAUUGGGGAGGUGACAAAAGAAACUUGUAAAGCUGCACAGGUGGGUGGAUGACUCUGAUAGUGUAAAACCAGGUGGCCAUGGGGACAAGCUGCACACAAAGUUAUCUGGUCAUGGAGUGAAUAGAAGCGGUUAGAUGAUAAGAAAAAUAGACAAAAGAUCGUAGCAAUUGCAAAAUGCAGAGCAAGAAGACAUGUCUAGGAAGGAACGGCAGAUGCUGGUUUAAACUGAAGAUAGACAACGGGACAGGCUGCAUCUCUGGAGAGAAGGAAUGGGUGACAUUUCAGGUGGAGACAAGACAUAACUGGCAGGUCAGCAUGGACAUGCCCUCCACUUUUGGAUAGAGAUUUUUAAAAAACAAGCCAACCCAAUUAUCACAAAUGUGCAACUGAUACUAACAGAGGAAUCAAGUUGCCCAAGAUUAUUGAAUUCAGUUCAAGCCCAGAGGACUGCCAUGAGCCCAAAUGGAAGGUGAGAUGCCAUUCCUCAAGAUUGCUUUGAGCCUCAUUGCAACAGUGCAGGAAGUCACAGACUGUUCAGUCACUCCCACAUCCAAGAGUCAGAAUGAGAUAACAUGAAGCUCAGGAGUGCCCCAUGGAGCGAACACAGGUUCUCCACAAAGUAGAAACCCAACGCCUGUUUAGUUUCUCCGUGUAGAGGAGACCACAUCGUGAACACAGGGAAAGGAGCAGAGGGGGAAAAGGAGAGACAGUGAGAGAAAGGGAAGAACGCAGUAGAGAGGGAGGGAGUGAGUGGGAGUUGAGUGUGAAAGAAGGGGGGGGAAGAGGGCAAGAUACUUUCCACACUUUCCUCUUCAUCUCAAUCUCUUUGAUCAUCUUCAAGGCAGAAGUGCUAAGCUUUGGCCUUUUACAGUUAAAUAAAAGACUAUUUGGGAAA